CGUAGGUGGCAAGCGUUGUCCGGAAUUACUGGGCGUAAAGCGUGCGCAGGCGGUUUUGUAAGACAGGCGUGAAAUCCCCCGGGCUCAACCUGGGAACUGCGCUUGUGACUGCAAGGCUAGAGUACGGCAGAGGGGGGUGGAAUUCCACGUGUAGCAGUGAAAUGCGUAGAGAUGUGGAGGAACGCCAAUGGCGAAGGCAGCCCCCUGGGUCGAUACUGACGCUCAUGCACGAAAGCGUGGGUAGCAAACAGGAUUAGAUACCCUGGUAGUCCACGCCCUAAACGAUGUCAACUAGGUGUUGGGAGGGUAAAACCUUUUAGUACCGGAGCUAACGCGUGAAGUUGACCGCCUGGGGAGUACGGCCGCAAGGUUA
rnacentral:rRNA from 1 species